rnacentral:snRNA from 1 species
AGCUUUGCGCAGUGGCAGUAUCGUAGCCAAUGAGGUUUAUCCGAGGCGCGAUUAUUGCUAAUUGAAAGAACAUUAUCAGGCAAAUAAGAAAACAAAAUUAUUUUAUCAAUGUUAAUUUCCUGAUUUUAAUAAUUAU